UAUAUACACCAAGGCGCAAUACAACUUAAAAUACAACAACCUGUCCUUCCAAUAUUUAUAAUAAUACACGUGCACACCAAAAAUUCACGUUAUACUGCAGCUGAAUUUUAUGACACCAACAA